AGAUGGCGACCGGCGCACGGGUGAGUAACACGUAUCCAACCUGCCGAUAACUCGGGGAUAGCCUUUCGAAAGAAAGAUUAAUACCCGAUGGUAUAAUCAGACCGCAUGGUCUUGUUAUUAAAGAAUUUCGGUUAUCGAUGGGGAUGCGUUCCAUUAGGCAGUUGGUGAGGUAACGGCUCACCAAACCUUCGAUGGAUAGGGGUUCUGAGAGGAAGGUCCCCCACAUUGGAACUGGGACACGGUCCAA
rnacentral:rRNA from 1 species